CCCCUGGCACGUGACCCCCACCGCAUCUGCAUACCGGAGGGCGAUCUGGCCAAUCAGCUCCCCGGCGCUGAGCUCCGCCUCCGGGCGCCACUCCCGAGCCCAUUGGUUCGUCCCGACAAGACCACGCCUCCUCCUUCUCCCUUAAUACCCGCCCGCGCCGUGCUUGCCCAGACCGCGCGGGGGCGAGCUGCGUGGGGUUCGCGCGCCUCGGACGCGCGCCUCUCCCCGGAGCUGGCUCUCCUUCCUGGGCAGUGCGGAGAGCCUCGCGCCGUGCUGCCGGCCGCUUCUUGCCUCCUCGCGUCUGGGCACUGUGGCUCCGCGUUAGCGUGCCCGCCGAAGGGGCGCUGACUCGGUUCUACGCGGCCGCCGGGUCCUCCGGGUCUGCGCCCCGGCUCCGCGCGGCGUUUUCGCCCGGCGGCGCUGGCCCUGUGCGCAGCGGCGCCCUGAACCUGGCGCACGCACUGGCGCGCGUCCUGCCCGUGCCGUGCACACGCCCUGCACCUCCCCACGGUGCACACACGUACGUGCGCGGGCCGCGCGGCCUAGAACUCACUGCGCGCUCCUGGCAGCUGCCUUCGGGGGGGGCCCCCCCUCCUUCGCUCCGCGGCUCCCCGGGGAGCGCCCCGCUGCGAGCCAAACAAUCCCGGCUGCGAAACAGCCCCCCGGGGAGGCCUGCUUUCCUUGCAGCUCCCACACCCCACCCCGCCGCGCACGCAGCCUGCCCACCCGGAGGCCCUGGGCUCCCCGCUACUACACACCCCGCGCUUCCUUCCUGGCUCUCGGUAGCCCGCCGCGGUCCUCCAUUCUUUGGCUCCUCCUCGGUAUGCAUAAUAAUCCGUGGUGGGCAAGGUCCGGCGUAGUGUGCGCUCCGAAGAGUCCCCUUUCAAGUUUCAGUUCAAGCCACGGGAGGAUUUUGAAAGCUCCGAUGUUUCUAUAUUUUUAUGGAAGGUCGUGGAAGGAGGCUAGUUCCUCUCCACCCCUUGCUGCUCUGGAACAUCGGCGAUGCUGAAAGUUGUUGGUGCUGUAAGAGGCCAUUCCCUGCCUGUGUCCCCGCCUGCAAGGAGAGACAACGCUCUGGUACCUUCGGGAUGCAGUUUUGCUGCCGCCAGUGCCAUGCUUUGAAAUGUUUGUGGAUGAAAGGGACACAACAGACUCCUGCUCUCGUUUCCCUUCAGGGUCCCAUGAGCUCCCCACACUUUCUUGUCACAACUUCUCACCUCAGGGGAUGGCAGGUCGAGGAGGAAAGGGUUUUUCCUGGCUUAUGCUCCCACAUCAGCUCUGGUUCUGCCACACCACCUCCCAUCAGCCUCCAGGAUUCUUGUCCCUCAGGUAAACAGGAUUUUAGCAUCAGAAUUUAGGGUGAAAUUUCUAAAGAGGUAGAACAAACACACACAAUGAAUGGGCUAUCCCUGAGGUUAGGGGGAAUUAAAGAGCAGAGGGCUCGGCUGGAAAUGGCACACUGAGCCAACAGGCUGGGCUGGAGGGACAGCUCAGGGAAGGACACUUGUGCCACAGAAACCAAAAGGAGGCAGCCAUCAGGCAAGCAAUUGGAACAGAACCACUCAAAGUUUGGGGCAGGGAGGUGACAUGAGAAAGCUGUACUAGGUGAUGGCUUUCUAGGCUACACCAUGGUAGAGUGGACCAGAGUGAGGGUCAUAUGACCUUUCAAACAAUUGGUCAUUCAUUCAUUCAUUCAUUCAUUCAUUCAUUCAUCAUUCAUUUGUUCUAUCAGUUUUCUCCCUUCCGUUUCCACCUGAGCCCUGGUGACUGCUCGUCUCUCCCCCUACCUGAGUCUCCUCUAGACUCCCUCUUCUUUUGCAAUCCUAUCCUAGCAUUGGCAUGGUGCCUGGCACGCAGUAGGUAUUUAAUAACUACUUGUUGAAGGAAGAACAAAGGGAACCUGAGUGGGGUGACAGCCACAAAGAAAGAAGUGGAGACACUUUGGAGAGAGAGAUAUAUAUACCCGGCCACUGGUGGGCGGGUAGGACAUCAGGGCCAUUGUCACUCCAGGUGAUGGGCUCAGUGAAUGAUGGUUCUGGGGACAGUGAGGAGAGUGGGGGUAGGGAGGGGGAACUUGGUGGGGACUGGUUCACGCUCCUCGGAUAGUGCGUAUCACUUUUCCUCUGUUACUAACACCCACCCUCGGGAGGCUCAACCCUCAAGAUACAUCCCUUGGUCUUGUGCAGCUCCUGCCUCGGUGCAACAGGUAUGAGUACAUACACAGGCAUAAACGCUCCUGUAGUGAUUAUACAUUAGGAAGUGCCCUGCCAUCUCCUCACUAUGUUUCCUACCUAUGGUCACACUCCUCUAAAACACAAGGCUAUGUCGUUGAUCUGUUUUGUUUCUUAAAUCAAGCCA
rnacentral:lncRNA from 1 species